rfam:Candidatus Altiarchaeales archaeon WOR_SM1_SCG NODE_187_length_2969_cov_3639.6_ID_403, whole genome shotgun sequence.
GAAAGCCGUGUAGGGGAAAACCCUACGCACGGUUUGAUGAGGGGGCGGUGGGCGGAAGCCCACUGCCCUACUCUAC